CUAUUCGUAUAAAACGAUAUUUAAAUCACCUUCCUUCUGUUAACACAAUGACAAUUUAAGUUUUUAUCUUGCAGUUUUCCUUGUCUUAACAUUUUCUUCAUUCACUACAGGUCAGAUCAGGUUGGCAGGGCGAGGAUCAGCUCGGUGCUCUUGAAGGGUUGAAGUUUUCUAUGGCAAUGCCUGGGGAACAGUCUGUAAUGAUAACUGGGACAUAGCUGAUGCUAAUGUGGUUUGUCGACAGCUGGGCUGUGGUCCGGCUAUCAGUGCAGUAGUUGGUUCUGCUCUCUUUGGUCAAGGAGUUUGAAAAAUCUGGCUUGAUGAUGUUCGGUGCUCAGGAAAUGAAAACUCUCUAACCAGCUGUGGACACAGAGGUUAUG